CCUACGGGAGGCUGCAGUGAGGAAUAUUGGUCAAUGGACGAGAGUCUGAACCAGCCAAGUCGCGUGAAGGAUGACUGCCCUAUGGGUUGUAAACUUCUUUUAUAUGGGAAUAAAAUGUUCCACGUGUGGGAUUUUGUAUGUACCAUAUGAAUAAGGAUCGGCUAACUCCGUGCCAGCAGCCGCGGUAAUACGGAGGAUCCGAGCGUUAUCCGGAUUUAUUGGGGUUAAAGGGAGCGUAGGUGGAUUGUUAAGUCAGUUGUGAAAGUUUGCGGCUCAACCGUAAAAUUGCAGUUGAAACUGGGAGUCUUGAGUACAGUAGAGGUGGGCGGAAUUCGUGGUGUAGCGGUGAAAUGCUUAGAUAUUACGAAGAACUCCGAUUGUGAAGGCAGCUCACUGGACUGCAACUGACACUGAGGCUCGAAAGUGUGGGUAUCAAACAGGAUUAGAUACCCUAGUAGUC
rnacentral:rRNA from 1 species